AUAUAUUCGCGUUUAUCUUACGAACCGUUCUCUAUUCGUGAAAAAUUGAAAAUUUCUUUGCACAACCUUCCAAGAUGGAUAAUUCGAUUACAUCCAAGAAUCCAUCGAAAUUCUCGAAAACGGUGAAAGUCGAGAUGCAGAUGGUUCGACAACCACGAACGAAAAGAUAGACGCAGUGAUUUCGAAUGCAGGACCCAACGAGGAAAUAUUCUCCUACCUUAGAAAUAUUCUAUUAUGCCGCAGAAUCAGAUUCGAAUAGAAACGGCGAAAGAUUCGUGGAGAAUUGAAACGCGCGAGUGAAAUUUCUUCCAUCCUAAAGAUAGAAUUCUAACCUGAGGGUGAUUCGUUCGGUUUUAUCGCGAUACGUAUCGUGUAUUACAAUUCCAUUCGUCAGAUGGAUUGGCGGCCUUCGUCCUUUUUUUUUUUUUUAAUGAAUAUCCAUCACGUGGACGGAGACCGGCAUGGAAAAGUUUUAUCGUCUACCCGGGGAGACGAGAAUGAAUAAAGCGAAAAUAAAAGGAGGGAAAGAAAAGUCGACGGGCAUUCUUUUUCUCUCUCUUUUUUUUUUUUUUUUUUUAAUCGCUCCGCCAUUCUUGCGGCUAACGUCAUCGUUAUUCGCUCGCCUUGCACAAAGCCUGCACGCUGCAACGGGCAAAGGACACGCUGCUCAACCUAUUUUUCCUAAGGCCUGCAUUUUUCGUUUUUCUAUCGUUGUUUACGUCCCUGGCCAAUGUAAUAAUGAAAGAAAUUUGAGGAGAAAAAAAUGCUGGUAUAAGCAGCGUAAUGAGACAAUAAGGAGCUAAACUUCGAUUUGAUUCAAAGUUUUAAAAAAAGAUAGAAUGAAUAUUUUUUUUUUUUAAUUCGUGGUACAAUAGAGUUUAACAAUUGACCCGAGUGUGAAGUAAAUCAACUUUCGUCUUAAUUACGUAAUCAAGGAAAUUUCUCAAAGAGGAGAAGAAGAUAAUCAUUAUUAUCCUCCUUUACAAUAACAAAAACGAAUAAAAUGUCUUAUAUCAAGGUAACUAGUCUAAAAAAAAAAAGAAAAAGUCUGCAACGCCUUUUAUCAUCCAAAUUAAUUUCCUGCAUAACGAACAAGAAGCUACGUAGCUUCACCCGUUUACGCGUAAUAAAUUUUACGAGACUAAUUAUCUAGCCUACAUCCCGCUCAAGCCUCUCCCGCAGCUUACCGUAAAAAAGAAGAAAGUUAAAAAGUAAUUAACGAAAAGCACGAGUGCAAGGUGCUUCCGCUAAAUUUAAUCGCAAAGAGGACGAACAACCCUAACCCACCAUCCGUUUGCUUAUCGCAAAAUUCAUCUUUUUUUUUUCGCGAAGCCUAUAUACAACAAUCCCCCUAGAAAAAUUCUUUAAAAAGGAAGGAAAGAAAAAAAUGUAAAACUAGAAACUAGAGUCACUCGAAAUCCAGAUCCAGAAAGAAAGGAAGUAAAAGAAAUAAAAAAAUUGAAAAGGCUAAGAGAAGAAGCCCCUUGUCGGAGGAAGCCACUGACGCAGAAACGGUGGUCGAGUGACAGUGUCGGCCUUGAAUCGAGCCGGUCGCUCGGCGACGUGCAACUAGGGCGUGCAAGAGCAACGAUGAGCCUUCAAAGCGAAGUUUCCUGGCGACACACGGUGCACACGUUGUGACGACACGUCGAUGCCUUUAAAUACCUUUUACCCCCGUGUGCACGAUAGGAUAGGGAUUCUAGAGAACACGGGGCAAAGACGACGAUAGGAGCCGCACACGGUUAUAAACGGUGGCCACCAUUUUAUCGCUGAUCGAUUUUCCUCACGACCGAAUGAUGAUCGCCAUUACGUAUGCGCCGCUGUGUAUUUACGUUUUGUACGCGAUUCCAGGGAUCCUUGAAUUCGUGAACUCGACCGAAACUACGCUCGACGGAAGUCGGAAAAGAGCAAUAACUUUUUAAGAAAAGAACGAGCACGAAGUUCGUUUCGAAUUUAUUUCUAGAAACUUUGCAAUUUUUCUUGUGUAAAGACGAUCGAGAGCGGUUUGAGGUUAAUUGAUGCGUUGCUUAUUUACGAGCUCGACCUCGAACGGUUUGAGAACGUAUAGGCUUCAUAGGGGAAUCUUGUUGUUCGCAAACUUGACCUUUUUGUACCAUCUGGUCUUUUUUUUUUCAAAGCGUAUCUAGUAACUAACUAGAGAACUAACUAGUGUCUAAACGGAUUUCUAUGGUUGAAAAAAUAAUUGAGGUUAUUUCGUAACGAGCAUGUAGACGGUAAAUCAGUAAUUGGAGAGAACGAUUAUUCGCAAACUCAUCCUUAACUCGGUCCUAGCUAACAUCUGAUCUUUGUAAUCCUAGUGCAUCUGGUAAUUUACUAGGGAACAUCGUAGACAGAUGCCAAUCUCGGUUGAGUGGAGAAAAGUUUUAAUAAGAUACAAAGACUUUUGGAUUUAGGCUAACUGGUUAACCUUCCCGAUAGAGUUCGAGAGAAAUCGCAUUUAUUCAUAAAGUAGAGCCUUCCUCUAUUCAAACUCGCGUUAUCCUCGAGCCAUCUAGUUACUAUCUAGCCCCCGCUAUUCUUAUUCGGUAUCGUUCGAGGGAAAAGGGGGGGGAUAGGGAUUCUUAUCGAGUGUCGCUUGCUGGCUCAGGAGAACUUUUAAUAACUCCGUAAGAGGCACGACCUCGUCGAUGAUCUCGACUUGGCAGCCAACUUGGCACACUCGUACCAACCUCAAAAAUUUAACUAGCUGUCUUCACAAUAGGCGCUCGGCUGCGCGCGCAGAUCCUGCAGAAUCCUGACCCGCGGGCUUCUAGCGUAAAAUCACAUCGUAAAACGUGUCUCUAUACUUCGUAUACUUAGCCCGAUGUUUCCUGCCCUAGUUCCCUAAUGGCGAUCAAGAUAUAUCGCGUGCGUGACAUGAGAGGUUAUGGGAUAUGCAUCGAGAAAAUAAUGGGACGAUCUUUAAAAUAGAAAUAGAAUCGUAAAUGGGUGAAGUGAUUUCAAGUCGCAAAUUCAACUUUUCUAUCUUAAAAGUUAGUGUUUCGUCGAACGAAAGAAAAGAAAAGGAAAUUUACGAGCGAGGAAGACGGAUAUCUCUAGAUAGUUCGAGAAGGAGAAGGAGAAGGAGAAGGAGAAUCGAAAUGGUCCCUAAUGGCGGAUUAAAUGUGAUUGGCCGGCUCCUAAAUGGAUGAUCGAUGUAUUAAAGAAGCAUGCACGAAGGUAACGAUCACGCGGAACGGUUCAUCUUCCACGAGAGAACGAAAAGAAUUAUCUAGUGCGCAAGGGAUAAGAAGACGACCUCACCGCACUUGCAAGAUGAUUUCCCUCGAGACAUCUCGUUCCUCGACAAACCGUUACGCCCGACUCUCAGCAUGGAGGAGGAAUACACUCGGCGAGUGUAGGCCGUGGUGGAAGGGCGGUGAGGGUUGGCCGCUUUAGCCGGGCGGGGAUGGCUUUAACCGGUCGAUACUUGGUUCCACAAGCGUUACACUGGGAAGGGGUGCGGGAGGAGCGUGGCACAGCCCUGAUCCUGUUGGCCGGACAUCGACGUUUGCCAGCCGAACGUGUAAUCGCGGAAGAGAGCUAAGACGGAUGCCAAGCAUGAAGAUAUUCGGGUAGCCUUUCGUGCGAGGAAAUAUUUAGAAAUGGAAUUAUGUAUUUAAAAAAAGUUUGAAGGUUGAUUCCAUCCUCUGAAAUGGAAUUUUAUGCCGAAAAAAAGUUGUUCACGCGUCGAUUAAAAGGAUUUUGUUGUCCGUUCAGUUUUGGGAUUACGAGAGAACGUUUCAUCACGAACUUUUACUAUUUGACCAUCGCACGAUUAAUAAAAAAUAUUAUACUCUAUUGGAUCAAUUAAAAGCAUCAUUCAUAUUCAGAAAAAAAGAAUCUUUGACGACCAAAGAUUGUCAUCAACAAUCUUGAAUCAGAGAAAGUGGAUGAUUAAUAAGAAAAAUAAGAAACGAAUAUAUUAUUCUUCAUGACACAAAAUAAUUCUCUUCUACGAACGAAGAAACAAUAUUUCAAAAAGUAUCUCCAACUGUUUCAAAUUUUCCCAUAUCAGUGGAACGAGACCGUAAAAGACAGACCAGGAGAAGGCUGCGCAAGUACCAUCAACAAAAUUUCCAAAAUUUCCAAAAUAAAAACUUGGAUAAUUUCGUGGAAAGCUAGAUACGCAAUAUAUACAUUUAUUCCACGUCGAUUCAUCGACUGUCAAACAUGUUUCCAUCUCCAAUACGUAUCUCUCUCGUAUCUCAUUCCGUUCCCCUUUUUCGUUAAAGAGAGAACGAACGCGUGAUCGAGGGGAGAGAAAGAGAGGGUGAUACACAGGGGAGUAGGCCGGUGAUUGAUGAACUCUCGAGAAGAGUGAUUCGAGGUGAAAGGAUCGGGGAAGAUUCGCGAUUCACGCGAGCGAGCAACCCUUCCCUCCCUUUCCUCCCCUCCCCUCCCUUCGUCCGUAAUUAUAAUCAACCGUGGUCGGUGAUAUCUGGCUGAAUACCAGCCAGAGCCGAAAUGUGGGACGUCUGUUUGUCGGAGGGGAUAACCGUAAUCCGAGGCCACGAACCGACUAUGUGUAUGAUCCAUGUAAACGUACUCGUGUAAACAGAUAUACUGACGCCUUAUGAUCGAUAGCCAAAGAUACCGUGUAUACUGUAUUUAUAUAUAUAUAUAUAUAUAUGUAUAUGUAUAUACAGGGUGCUAAUAUAUUCGUGGGGAAGUAUCUUUGGAGGAUCGAUUAUGGAGAACAAAGGUUCGUAUACAAAGAUGUCGAGGUUGAGGCUUAUUUGUUGAAUUAUUAGUGAGCAAUUUAAAGUCGGAUAGCUCUAUCUCCAUCGCGCACCGGUAUUGAUAUAUUUGCGUCUCGCUUCAUCUUCAAUAAAUGAUUGGUUAUGACUUAAUGAAUUAAUAGAUUAUUUUAUUAUUUUGAUCUACUAGAAUCAAUACUUCAAAGAAGUAAGGUUUCUUGUGAGUAUAAUAUGGUGGUGGUUAUAAUUUUGGGAUAAUUUUAUUAAUAGUUGGUUAUUUUGAAUUACAGGUGGAAUUAAAAAAAAGAAUGGCCAAGUGAAAUUAUAUUAUUGAAAAAGUUAAACUUAUGAAAAGCUUGGAAACUUUGGGAGAAAGAUUUAUUAUGCUAAACUUUCAUUAAAAUCAGAAUUAUAAG